GAUGAACGCUGGCGGCGUGCUUAACACAUGCAAGUCGAACGGAAAGGCUCCUGCUUGCAGGGGUACUCGAGUGGCGAACGGGUGAGUAACACGUGGGUGAUCUGCCCUGCACUUCGGGAUAAGCCUGGGAAACUGGGUCUAAUACCGGAUAGGACGAUGGUUUGGAUGCCAUUGUGGAAAGUUUUUCGGUGUGGGAUGAGCUCGCGGCCUAUCGGCUUGUUGGUGGGGUAAUGGCCUACCAAGGCGUCGACGGGUAGCCGGCCUGAGAGGGUGUACGGCCACACUGGGACUGAGAUACGGCCCAGACUCCUACGGGAGGCAGCAGUGGGGAAUAUUGCACAAUGGGCGCAAGCCUGAUGCAGCGACGCCGCGUGGGGGAUGACGGCCUUCGGGUUGUAAACUCCUUUCGCUAGGGACGAAGCGCAAGUGACGGUACCUGGAGAAGAAGCACCGGCUAACUACGUG
rnacentral:rRNA from 1 species